rnacentral:lncRNA from 1 species
UUCCUGGCCGCUCUUGUAGAUUGGACACCAGCUCAUCACCAACAUCGAGGCAAUGAACAAUUCUAGGAAGGAGGCCACCCAGGCGGAGGAAGGUCGUCUGGCCGAGGCCGCCCGCCUUAAGGAGAAGAUCAUCGAAGUCGCAAGUCUCCAAGAGGCACUGCAGAAGGAGGAGCAGACCUCGACAGACUUGAGGGCCACC